UGAAUACGAGAUGCUACGGCGUCGAAGCAGUCUAUGUCAUACUUCCAAGAAAAGCUUGCACUGUCAUAAACAAAUAAUGCCUGUACCAUAACCGACACAGGUGGGUAGGUAGAGUAUACUAAGGGGCGCGAGAUAACUCUCUCUAAGGAACUCGGCAAAAUGACUCCGUAACUUCGGGAGAAGGAGUGCCUUAUUUAUAAGGUUGCAAUAACAAGAUCCAAGCAACUGUUUACCAAAAACACAGGUCUCCGCUAAGUCGUAAGACGAUGUAUGGGGGCUGACGCCUGCCCAGUGCCAGAAGGUUAAAGAAGUUGGUUAGCAUCCGCGAAGCUGAUAACUGAAGCCCUGGUGAACGGCGGCCGUAACUAUAACGGUCCUAAGGUAGCGAAAUUCCUUGUCGGGUAAGUUCCGACCCGCACGAAAGGCGUAAUGAUUUGGAUACUGUCUCGGAGAGGGGCUCGGUGAAAUAGACUUGUCUGUGAAGAUGCGGACUACCUGCACCAGGACAGAAAGACCCUAUGAAGCUUUACUGUAACCUGAAAUUGAAAUUGGACUUUACUUGCGCAGUAUAGGUGGGAGGCGUUGAGAAUAUUCUUGCGGGAUUAUUGGAGCCAUCAGUGAGAUACCACUCUUGUAAUGUUAGAUUUCUAACUUUGUAUCAUUAUCUGGUCAAAGAACAGUUUCAGGCGGGCAGUUUGACUGGGGCGGUCGCCUCCUAAACGGUAACGGAGGCGCACAAAGGUUUCCUCUGAACGGGUAGAAAUCGUAUCUAGAGUGUAAAGGCAUAAGGAAGCUUGACUGUGAGACCUACAAGUCGAGCAGGGACGAAAGUCGGUCUUAGUGAUCUGACGGUGCUGAGUGGAAAGGCCGUCACCCAACGGAUAAAAGUUACUCUAGGAUAACAGGCUGAUCUCCCCCAAGAGUUCACAUCGACGGGGAGGUUUGGCACCUCGAUGUCGGCUCAUCGCAUCCUGGGGCGGUAGUACGUCCCAAGGGUUGGGCUGUUCGCCCAUGAAAGCGGUACGCGAGCUGGGUUCAGAACGUCGUGAGACAGUUCGGUCCAUAUCCGGUGUAGGCGUUAGAAUAUUGAGAGGAGCCUUCUUUAGUACGAGAGGACCGAGAAGGACAUACCUCUGGUGUACCAGUUAUCGUGCCAACGGUAAACGCUGGGUAGCUAAGUGUGGAGUGGAUAACCGCUGAAAGCAUCUAAGUGGGAAGCCCACCUCAAGAUAAGUAUUCUCAUC
rnacentral:rRNA from 1 species